rnacentral:rRNA from 1 species
GAUGAACGCUAGCGGCAGGCCUAAUACAUGCAAGUCGGACGGGAUUCCGGUGCUUGCUUCUGAUGAGAGUGGCGCACGGGUGCGUAACACGUAUGUAUCCCACCUUUAUCAGGGGGAUAGCCUCUCGAAAGAGAGAUUAAGCUAGCAUAAAAUCACAGCACAGCCUUGUGUAAUGAUCAAAUAUUUAUAGGAUAAAGAUUGGCAUGCGGAACAUUAGCUAGAUGGCGGGGUAACGGCCUACCAUGGCGACGAUGUUUAGGGGAUCUGAGGGGAUGGCCCCCGACACGGGUACUGGGACACGGGCCAGACUCCUACGGGAGGCAGCAGUAAGGAAUAUAGGAGAAUGGAAGGAUGCCUGAUCCAGCCAAGCCGGAUGCAGGAAGACGGCCCUAGGGAUUGUAAACUGCUUUUAGACGGGAAUAAUCCCAGAUACGGGUAUCUGGCUGAAUGUACUGGAUAAAUAAGGAUCGGCUAACUCCGUG